rnacentral:misc_RNA from 1 species
AACGCUAUGGAAGAUUUGCUAAGCUGCAUUGCACACAAAGAAACCAUUUCAAAUGAAUUAAAAAAAGUCUUCUUGUUAUGUCAAAGGUAAAAUAAUACUUAAUUCAAAGGAAUAAUACUUAAUUCUACUACAGCACAAAUAUUAGAAGAGCAUCCAGCAUUAAGGAUUGCUACAGAGCUAUUAGAAGAGGUAAAUCUCAUAACUGGAAAUGAAGGAACCAAUAAAAUAAACCAGUUCUUUACAGUUAAAAGAUCUAUAAAAGUACUGGAGAUGGCCAAGUCGGGAAAAAGAAAUGCUAAAAAUAUUGACCUGGAAUCAACUCUAAGCACACCAACAAUAAACAUUACUUGCUCAAAUCAAGCCAAUAUUCUGCAUUUUGAAGAUGUGCAUAAAGCGAUCUACCUCAAUGGUUUAAUUAUUUGUAACGUUCUAUCCAUUGAUGAAGCAAUAAUAGUCUUAAUAGCAUCUUACUGGGUUUUUGAAAUAGCCUUUGAUCCGCGACUGUAGAAAACAUUGAUAUUUCUAGCCAAUUAUAUUUGUGGGCUUAGUGAGUACUGUGUCAGUGCACCGGUUCAGCGAUUGCUGAACAAGUUGUUGUAAACUUCUGUUUGUAAUAAAAGUAAAUUAGCUUUUUUUUA